rnacentral:lncRNA from 10 species
CUGCCUAUCACUCCAAUCUCAGCCCCUGUCUUCACGUGGCCUUCUCCUCUUCUCUCCUUUCUUAGUCUCUUAUGACACUUGUCCCUGCAUUUAGGGCUCACCCAGAAAUCCAGGAUGAUCUCGCUUCGAGAUCCUUAACUGAAUUACGUCUGCAAAGAUUGUUUUUCCAAAUAAGGUCACGUUCUGGGGAUUAAGACUCAGCUAUAUCUUUUCUGGGGGGCCACCAUCCAACCGCCUACAGUGGGAAGUGCAGGAACCAUUGAGCUCCUGUAGAUCUAACGCCUGGUGCAUAGAAGGCCUUGCCAGUCUUGACCAGGUCGGGGGGUGAGGUCAAGAUUCGGCACUGCUAAUCAGCUUCCAGGUGAGGCCAAGGUCGCGCCAUGUUGUUGAAUGCAGUCCCUUCAUGUUACAGAGAGCAGAGGGGACCACAGCCCGAGCCCCCUGCUGCCUCCCAGAGCGAGGCUCUCCUCAUCGUGGACUCACCGCCCUCUGUGUGCCUCGUCCAUCACAUACAUCCUAAGUGUCCCUCCCAGCCUGUGAGCUUCUAGAAGGCAUUGCAACCCGGCACAGGAGCUGACACUUACAAAUAUUCAGGAACAAGCCAGUCCUCGAAGUCUCAUGUAGGGGAAAGAUCAUGAGAUCUGGAGGUGAAGGAGUGGCCCUAACUGGCCCUAAACACUUCAAGUGCCCCUGGGCACGUGGUUUCAUGGCUCUGAGCCUCGAUUUCUUCCUCUGGACAGGGUCUUCCUCUGUCACCCAGGCUGCAGUGCAGUGGCGCAAUCAUGGCUCACCGCAGCCUCCACCUCCUGGGAUCAAGGGAUCCUCCCACCUCAGCACCCCGAGUAGCUGGGACCACAGGCGGACGCCACAGCAUCUGGCUGUUUGUAUAUUUUGUAGACAGGGUUUCACCAUGUUGGCCAGGCUGGUCUCGAAUUCCUGGGCUCAAAUGAUCCACCUGCCUCAGCCUCCCAAAGUGCUAGGAUUACAGGAGUGACCCACCGUGCCCAGCACCCCCUUUACCUCUGAGCAAUCCAUCUCUCUCCUUGGGGGCACCCCAUGAUCUAGACACCACCCACCUUGUUCUGCCUUGGCCAAAAUACCACCUAACUGCCCCCACCUAUGCCAGGUGCCCCUCACCCACCCUCCUCCACCCUUCGCUGAGUCCCACUUGGCUGGUGCCCAGGACAGGGACAGUCCCAGCCCUUCCAGCCCAUCUCCCCACAUCAGUACACUCCGGAGAGCCAGCCAAGAGUAGAUUCUUUAUUCAUUUCUCUUUUUUUUCUUAAAAAAAAAAGUAUUCAUUUGGUAUAAAAAAUAAAUAUUUUAAAUAUGAC